rnacentral:ncRNA from 2 species
ACACCAUGCUAGGGGUGCCUGAAAAACCAGGCUGAGAUCAAACCCUUAACACCUGAGUCUGGGUAAUACCAGCGGAGGGAAGCUGUUUAUUUGAGGA